CCCUAAGACCAUAAACACAAAAAAAAUACACCAACAAUUGUAUACAAUCACAACAUAUUCACAAUGUAUGGCUCAAGUGAGCAAUGUAAAAAAAUGGAAAUAAAAUAAACAAGUUAAGUGAUAUGAAUAAUGGCAAAUGAUAAAAGAUCUUGAAUUUAAUGUGCAUAAGGUAAAUGACUUGAAAUUAAAAGUUAGUCAAAU
rnacentral:lncRNA from 1 species